GUCUUCGUGGCUCAGUUGGUUAGAGCGUUGGUCUCAGUACGACUCUCCGUUUCCACUUCGCAUCCCAGAAUUCGGCCCGCUAACCCCUCUCCAGUAUGUGCAUACAUGUGAUCAGAUAUUUACAUCUGGGCAAUCCAAAGGUCGUGAGUUCGAGUCUCACCGAGGACA
rfam:Purpureocillium lilacinum isolate PLFJ-1 scaffold00002, whole genome shotgun sequence.